rnacentral:rRNA from 1 species
CUACGUGCCAGCAGCCGCGGUAAUACGGAGGGUGCGAGCGUUAAUCGGAAUAACUGGGCGUAAAGGGCACGCAGGCGGUUAUUUAAGUGAGGUGUGAAAGCCCCGGGCUUAACCUGGGAAUUGCAUUUCAGACUGGGUAACUAGAGUACUUUAGGGAGGGGUAGAAUUCCACGUGUAGCGGUGAAAUGCGUAGAGAUGUGGAGGAAUACCGAAGGCGAAGGCAGCCCCUUGGGAAUGUACUGACGCUCAUGUGCGAAAGCGUGGGGAGCAAACAGGAUUAGAUMCCCUGGUAGUCCACGCUGUAAACGCUGUCGAUUUGGGGAUUGGGCUUAAAGCUUGGUGCCCGUAGCUAACGUGAUAAAUCGACCGCCUGGGGAGUACGGCCGCAAGGUUAAAACUCAAAUGAAUUGACGGGGGCCCGCACAAGCGGUGGAGCAUGUGGUUUAAUUCGAUGCAACGCGAAGAACCUUACCUACUCUUGACAUCCAGAGAAUUCGCUAGAGAUAG